UUUGCCUUUUAAUUGGGGGCUGGAAUGAAAGGUUUUAUGGAAAAUAGCUGUUUUAAAAUAAAAAAUUGAAUUUAAGUUUUGCAUAAAAACUUGCAAAUGCUCUUAAGGGACGAGAAGACCCUGUGGAUUUUUAUUUGUUAAAGAAUAAAUUUUAUAAUAUUUUAUUUUUUAUUCAAAUUUGGUUGGGAUGACAGCAAAAUUAACUUUGCUAAAAAAAUAAUGUAGAUCCUUUUUAAGGAAGAAAGAAUAAAUUACCCCAGGGAUAACAGCGUAAUACUUUUGGACAGGACGAAUGGAUAAAAGUGUUUGCGACCUCGAUGUUGAAU
rnacentral:rRNA from 1 species